rnacentral:rRNA from 1 species
GAGAGUAUGAUCCCGGCUCAGGGCGAACGCUAGCGGUGCGCUUAAUACAUGCAAGUCGUGCGAGAAAGCGGGGGCAACUCCGCGAGUAAAGCGGCAAACGGGUGAGUAACACGUAGCUAACUUGCCCGUGCGACGGGAAUAACAGCUCGAAAGGGCUGCUAAUGCCCGAUAUAAUCCAGGUUUCUUAAGAGAUCUGGAUGAAAGCCUAUACGGCGCGCACGGAGGGGGCUGCGGCCUAUCAGCUUGUUGGUGAGGUAACGGCUCACCAAGGCUUUGACGGGUAGGGGGCGUGAGAGCGUGACCCCCCACAUGGGGACUGAGACACGGCCCUGACUCCUACGGGAGGCAGCAGUAGGGAAUCUUCCGCAAUGGGCGAAAGCCUGACGGAGCGACACCGCGUGGAGGACGAAGGCCUUCGGGUCGUAAACUCCUUUUCCGGGGGAAGAAUAAGUCCGAUCGACUCGGAUGAUGACGGUACUCCGGGAAUAAGCCACGGCUAACUCUGUGCCAGCAGCCGCGGUAAGACAGAGGCGGCGAGCGUUGCCCGGAAUCACUGGGCGUAAAGGGCGCCUAGGCGGUCGCGUGUGCCAUCGGUGAAAUUUCUCCGCUUAACGGGGAAACGCCCGGUGUGACUGCGCGGCUAGAGUAUUGGAGAGGGAAGUGGAACGACUAGAGUAGCGGUGAAAUGCGCAGAUACUAGUCGGUACCUCAAUAGCGAAGGCAACUUCCUGGCCAGUCACUGACGCUGACGCGCGAAAGCGUGGGGAGCAAACCGGAUUAGAUACCCGGGUAGUCCACGCCCUAAACGAUGUAGACUAGGUGUUGGACUCUUUAAUAGAAGUCCAGUGCCGCAGCUAACGCGUUAAGUCUACCGCCUGGGGUGUACGGCCGCAAGGUUGAAACUCAAGGGAAUUGACGGGGGCCCGCACAAGCAGUGGAGCACGUGGUUUAAUUCGAUGGUAAGCGUAGAACCUUACCAGGGCUUGACAUGCACAUAGUAGAAGCCUGAAAGGGUGACGAGUCACUGUAGAAAUACAGAGACAGUGUGCACAGGUGCUGCAUGGCUGUCGUCAGCUCGUGUCGUAGGACGUCGGGUUAAGUCCCAUAACGAGCGCAACCCCCACUCUCAGUUGCCAUCAGUCUGCUGGGCACUCUGAGGGAACUGCCGGUGAAUAGCCGGAGGAGGGAGGGGAUGACGUCAAGUCAGUAUGGCCUUUAUGCCCUGGGCGACACACGUGCUACAAUGGAUGGUACAGAAGGCUGCGAACCCGUAAGGGGGAGCCAAUCCCUAAAGCCAUCCUCAGUUCGGAUUGAGGGCUGAAACCCGCCCUCAUGAAGCUGGAAUUGCUAGUAAUCGCGAAUCAGCCACGUCGCGGUGAAUACGUACUCGGGCCUUGUACACACCGCCCGUCACACCAGCCGAGCGGGAACCGCUCGAAGUCCCCGUUUAGGGGCCGAAGGUGGUUUUCGUGAGGGGGGUGAAGUCGUAACAAGGUAGCCGUACCGGAAGGUGCGGCUGGAUCACCUCCUUUCU